GAUCACAUUUAGGGUUUUCUUGUCAAAGAUCCUGGAGUGGUUUGAUAUCCCCUUUUCCAUCUUGAGUGAUGAGCAAACUGACUUGCCCAGGGUCAUGUAACUAGAAAACUGAAAAUGCAUCGCCUAUGUAUGAGUCACAAAACUGGUUUCAUCAACAUUCAAUCAUAUGAAGAUUUGGUGAUGAAAAAAAAUUAUAAAGAGAGAUUGAUUCUGGAGAUCCCUGCCUUGGUUUGGAGGAGACUUUUCCCCUGGAUUCAACAUCAGCUUGCUGCAUUGGUGGAAUUCUGGCUGAAGACACAACUAGAACUUCUGGGUGAAACCCCUAUUCGAAUGUUGGUAAUGAAAUGGAGCUCUUUGGCUGGCUCACCUUCUGUCAGACACACACCUCUUCACUUUUAAAAGGUCAAGACUGGCAUUACAGUCCCCUCCACAUACCUUUGAAAAUGCUGCCCAGUAUCUUCCUUAAUAGUGUCUGUAUUUUAUUAAGUCUUAUCACUGUAAUAUUAGUCAGGCAACAUAUAUAUUGUGAGUACUGUCAUCAGGGUGUUUGAUCAAGUAUUGUGUGCAGAAUAAAAAAGAAACAGGAGACUUGGCCCUUGUUUCU
rnacentral:lncRNA from 1 species